rnacentral:tRNA from 2 species
GUAGUCGUGGCCAAGUGGUUAAGGCGAUGAACUAGAAAUUCAUUGGGGAUUCCCCGCGUAGGUUUGAAUCCUUCCGACUACG